GCGACGCUAGCUCAGAUGGUAGAGCACAACCUUGCUAAGGUUGAGGUUACACAUUUCUAUUGUGAAUAGUGAACCUCGAGUGUCGCU
rnacentral:tRNA from 1 species